AUAAUCUUUUGUCGGUUUCUUAAACAUCCUGACCACUUAAGUAGGUCUAGGUGGUAAUAAGUUGAUUUUUCUUGGCUUCAGUUUAUCUAAUUCCUUUGCUAUGGACAUACUCUGAUAAAUUACCAUGAUGGUUGUGAAUGAAUAAAAUAUGGCUAAAUCCAUACUUACACCCAGUACUAUUUGGGAUUAACCCAUUAAACACCUGAACUAAAAUGGUAACUAUCGAACAGCUGAACUUGUAAAAAUUAUUAACAAUUAAACACAAAUUAGCCAUGUCAUCGAUGACUUAGCCAAAAAACAGUCACUAAUGGUCCCAUUUAUUAUUGACUGUACUCUAAAUUUUGCCGAAUGUGCUCUAAAUUUUCAUGAUAACAGUCAUUUUAUUGAGAUAACUUUACCAUGUUAUGAAAACUUAGAGCACAAUCAGUAAAAUUUAGAGUACAAUUAACUAUAAGUGGGAUCAUAUCUUACCCUCAAUAAAAAUGACUAUUGUCGUGAAAAUUUAAAUCACAG
rnacentral:misc_RNA from 1 species